ACGGGUAUGGCGAAACUGGUAAACGCAACAGGUUUAAAUUCUGUCGGUAUGUCCUUGCGAGUUCGAUCCUCGCUACCCGUACCA
rnacentral:tRNA from 1 species